ensembl:lncRNA
AUGCAAAAGGCGGGGGCCGCUUGGGGGUGCGCAUACGGGAAGGGAAGGCGAGAUACGCAUAGGUACUGGAAAAGUCAAGAGCCAAAAAAUGAGAAACUCUGGAACAAGCAACUUUUGAAUGAACAGAGGGACCAAUUUCUUUUAAAGCUCUCUUCUGUUGUAAACGUGGAGAUCCAUGUGAUGAAGAAUAAGUGUAAUUCAAUGAAGCAAGGAUGGUUCUCAUACUGAUGGGAGAUUUCAACCACCCAGAUAUCCACUGGCAAGACAACGUGGUGAGCUGCAAGUGAUCCAGGAGACUCCUAAAGUCUAUUGACAAGAACUUUCUGAUUCAGAUCUUGGACAGAACAACAAAAGCCAUCUCCCAAGUAACAGAAAGACUAGAUAAACUGGAUGACAGAUAAAAUGGAGAAGAAACAGG